rnacentral:rRNA from 1 species
GAUGAACGCUGACAGAAUGCUUAACACAUGCAAGUCUACUUGAUCCUUCGGGUGAAGGUGGCGGACGGGUGAGUAACGCGUAAAGAACUUGCCUUACAGACUGGGACAACAUUUGGAAACGAAUGCUAAUACCGGAUAUUAUGAUUGGGUCGCAUGAUCUGAUUAUGAAAGCUAUAUGCGCUGUGAGAGAGCUUUGCGUCCCAUUAGUUAGUUGGUGAGGUAACGGCUCACCAAGACGAUGAUGGGUAGCCGGCCUGAGAGGGUGAACGGCCACAAGGGGACUGAGACACGGCCCUUACUCCUACGGGAGGCAGCAGUGGGGAAUAUUGGACAAUGGACCAAAAGUCUGAUCCAGCAAUUCUGUGUGCACGAUGAAGUUUUUCGGAAUGUAAAGUGCUUUCAGUUGGGAAGAAGUCAGUGACGGUACCAACAGAAGAAGCGACGGCUAAAUACGUGCCAGCAGCCGCGGUAAUACGUAUGUCGCAAGCGUUAUCCGGAUUUAUUGGGCGUAAAGCGCGUCUAGGCGGCUUAGUAAGUCUGAUGUGAAAAUGCGGGGCUCAACCCCGUAUUGCGUUGGAAACUGCUAAACUAGAGUACUGGAGAGGUAGGCGGAACUACAAGUGUAGAGGUGAAAUUCGUAGAUAUUUGUAGGGAUGCCGAUGGGGAAGCCAGCCUACUGGACAGAUACUGACGCUAAAGCGCGAAAGCGUGGGUAGCAAACAGGAUUAGAUACCCUGGUAGUCCAC